rnacentral:rRNA from 1 species
AUACGUAGGGUGCGAGCGUUAAUCGGAAUUACUGGGCGUAAAGCGGGCGCAGACGGUUACUUAAGCAGGAUGUGAAAUCCCCGGGCUCAACCUGGGAACUGCGUUCUGAACUGGGUGACUAGAGUGUGUCAGAGGGAGGUAGAAUUCCACGUGUAGCAGUGAAAUGCGUAGAGAUGUGGAGGAAUACCGAUGGCGAAGGCAGCCUCCUGGGAUAACACUGACGUUCAUGCCCGAAAGCGUGGGUAGCAAACAGGAUUAGAUACCCUGGUAGUCCACGCCCUAAACGAUGUCGAUUAGCUGUUGGGCAGCAUGACUGCUUAGUAGCGAAGCUAACGCGUGAAAUCGACCGCCUGGGGAGUACGGUCGCAAGAUUAAAACUCAAAGGAAUUGACGGGGACCCGCACAAGCGGUGGAUGAUGUGGAUUAAUUCGAUGCAACGCGAAGAACCUUACCUGGUCUUGACAU